rnacentral:tRNA from 1 species
GGGGAUGUGGCUCAGAGGUAGAGCACUUGCCUAGCAUGCACAAGGCACUGGGUUCAAUCCUCAGCACCA